rnacentral:rRNA from 1 species
CAGGCCUAACACAUGCAAGUCGAGCGGGCCCUUCGGGGUCAGCGGCGGACGGGUGAGUAACGCGUGGGAACGUGCCUUCUGGUUCGGAAUAACUCAGGGAAACUUGAGCUAAUACCGGAUACGCCCUUUUUGGGGAAAGGUUUACUGCCGGAAGAUCGGCCCGCGUCUGAUUAGCUAGUUGGUGGGGUAACGGCCUACCAAGGCGACGAUCAGUAGCUGGUCUGAGAGGAUGAUCAGCCACACUGGGACUGAGACACGGCCCAGACUCCUACGGGAGGCAGCAGUGGGGAAUAUUGGACAAUGGGCGCAAGCCUGAUCCAGCCAUGCCGCGUGAGUGAUGAAGGCCUUAGGGUUGUAAAGCUCUUUUAUCCGGGACGAUAAUGACGGGAGCGGAGGAAUAAGCCCCGGCUAACUGAGUGCCAGCAGCCGCGGUAAU